rnacentral:rRNA from 1 species
UAUGAACGCUAGCGGCGGGCCUAAUACAUGCAAGUCGAGGGGCAGCGGAGGUAGCAAUACUUGCCGGCGACCGGCGCACGGGUGCGUAACGCGUAUGCAACCUACCCAUAACACGGGAAUAGCCCGAAGAAAUUCGGAUUAAUACUCGAUAGUAUCACUUGAUGGCAUCUGAAGGUGAUUAAAGAUUUAUCGGUUAUGGAUGGGCACGCGUCUGAUUAGCUAGUUGGUGAGGUAAAGGCUCACCAAGGCUACGAUCAGUAGGGGUUCUGAGAGGAUGAUCCCCCACACCGGUACUGAGACACGGACCGG